GAUGAACGCUGGCGGCGUGCCUAAUACAUGCAAGUCGAGCGAACAGACGAGGAGCUUGCUCCUCUGACGUUAGCGGCGGACGGGUGAGUAACACGUGGAUAACCUACCUAUAAAACUGGGAUAACUUCGGGAAACCGGAGCUAAUACCGGAUAAUAUAUUGAACCGCAUGGUUCAAUAGUGAAAGACGGUUUUGCUGUCACUUAUAGAUGGAUCCGCGCCGCAUUAGCUAGUUGGUAAGGUAACGGCUUACCAAGGCAACGAUGCGUAGCCGACCUGAGAGGCGGAUCGGCCACACUGGAACUGAGACACGGUCCAGACUCCUACGGGAGGCAGCAGUAGGGAAUCUUCCGCAAUGGGCGAGAGCCUGACGGAGCAACGCCGCGUGAGUGAUGAAGGUCUUCGGAUCGUAAAACUCUGUUAUUAGGGAAGAACAAAUGUGUAAGUAACUAUGCACGUCUUGACGGUACCUAAUCAGAAAGCCACGGCUAACUACGUG
rnacentral:rRNA from 1 species